GUCGAGAAUCAUUCACAAUGGGGGAAACCCUGAUGGUGUGACGCCGCGUGGAGGAUGAAGGUCUUCGGAUUGUAAACUCCUGUCAUGUGGGAGUAAAGCCGGGUGUUAAAUGCAUGCCGGUCUGAGAGUACCACAAGAGGAAGGGACGGCUAACUCUGUGCCAGCAGCCGCGGUAAUACAGAGGUCCCAAGCGUUGUUCGGAAUCACUGGGCGUAAAGGGUGCGUAGGCGGCGCGGAAAGUCAGGGGUGAAAUCCCGGAGCUCAACUCCGGAACUGCCUUUGAUACUCCCGCGCUUGAGAACUGGAGGGGAGACCGGAAUUCACGGUGGAGCAGUGAAAUGCGUGGAUAUCGUGAGGAACACUAGUGGCGAAGGCGGGUCUCUGGACAGUAUCUGACGCUGAGGCACGAAGGCCAGGGGAGCGAACGGGAUUAGAUACCCGAGUAGUCC
rnacentral:rRNA from 1 species